AUUCCAGCUCCAAUAGCGUAUACUAAAGUUGUUGCAGUUAAAAAGCUCGUAGUUGAAUUUCUGGUCGUGGCGAUCGGUCCGCCCCUCACGGGGUGUGCACCUGGUCUCUACGUCCAUCCUCGGGGAGAGCGCGUCUGGCAUUCAGUUGUCGGGCGCGGGAUCCUCGUCAUUUACUGUGAGCAAAAUAGAGUGUUCAAAGCAGGCUUAGGCCGUUGAAUACCUUGGUCUAUUUUGUUGGUUUGCGUGUCGAGAUAAUGAUGAAUAGGGACAGUUGGGGGUAUUUGUAUUCCAUAGUCAGAGGUGAAAUUCUUGGAUUUAUGGAAGACGAACUACUGCGAAAGCAUUUACCAAGGAUGUUUUCAUUG
rnacentral:rRNA from 1 species